GACGAACUCUGGCGGCGUGCUUAACACAUGCAAGUCGAGCGGAAAGGCCCCCUCGGGAGUACACGAGCGGCGAACGGGUGAGUAACACGUGAGUAACCUGCCCUUCUCAUCGGAAUAAGCGUUGGAAACGACGUCUAAUGCCGAAUAUGACUUCGGAAGGCAUCUUCUGAAGUGGAAAGCUCCGGCGGAGAAGGAUGGACUCGCGGCCUAUCAGCUUGUUGGUGAGGUAAUGGCUCACCAAGGCGACGACGGGUAGCCGGCCUGAGAGGGUGACCGGCCACACUGGGACUGAGACACGGCCCAGACUCCUACGGGAGGCAGCAGUGGGGAAUAUUGGACAAUGGGCGAAAGCCUGAUCCAGCAACGCCGCGUGAGGGAUGACGGCCUUCGGGUUGUAAACCUCUUUCAGUAGGGACGAAGCGAAAGUGACGGUACCUACAGAAGAAGGACCGGCCAACUACGUGCCAGCAGCCGCAGUAAUAC
rnacentral:rRNA from 1 species